rnacentral:ncRNA from 1 species
UUAAGUUUGAUUUUUGUUUGGGACGGGCUUCAAGCAACUGUGAUUUUUUUUGAACUUGUGUAGUGGGCAAUUGUGCGGGACCUUGUGUUUUGUCGUUUGUAUAAUUUUUGUACCAGAAUAAUCGGAUAGUCUUUUAAAAAUUUGGACUUUUGCCGGGGUUGAUUUUUGAGAUAUUUGUUAUUUUGUAACGUAGUGGUGUAAUAUUGGUUUUUUUUUGUUUUUUCAGAGGUCAGUAAAUUUGAGGAGUAAACCAGAUUAGAACCUGGGUAACCAAAAUUAUAAGUCAGGAGUAGAGUGAUAUUUAAACUGAAGAAAUAUUGGCAGGCUGAUAAAAUUAUUUUUGGAGGCUGAAGUGUAAUUGACAGCCCUCAUUUAUUACUUGUUUUUAAGAAUUAUGUAUGAUUGUCUAUAUCUCUGUUGAGCUGGGGUAUAAAAAUUUGGAAAUUAUUAAGAUAGAUAUAUAUUUAUUUUAUAAAUUAAGAACUUUUGGCCUACGUUUUAAUAUUAAUUGGAGAUCUUAUAAAUUUUCUGAAAUUGGAAAAAACAGUAAAGUGAUUUUUAUAGUCUAUUGAAGAAUAUUUUGUCGCGGCACAAAUCAUCCAUCAACUCCUGGCACGGGAGUAAGUUGUAGUAAAGUAAAGAUAAGGGAACUGGUCUUUGGUGUUACUUUUUGU